rnacentral:rRNA from 1 species
UACGGAGGAGGCAAGCGUUAUCCGGAAUUAUUGGGCGUAAAGCGUCCGUAGAUGGUUUUGUCAGUCUGCUGUCAAAGCGCAGGGCUUAACCCUGUAAAGGCAGUGGAAACUACAAGACUAGAGUGCAGUAGGGGCAGAGGGAAUUCCCAGUGUAGCGGUGAAAUGCGUAGAGAUUGGGAAGAACAUCCGUGGCGAAAGCGCUCUGCUGGACUGCAACUGACAUUGAGGGACGAAAGCUAGGGGAGCGAAUGGG